GGCCUCUCCGAGCACCUGCGAGCGGGAGCUGCUCCUCCGACCCGCAGCGGGGCGUGGGCGGCAGAGGGGGCGGUGGACAGGCCUCUCCGCCUCUCCAGGCCGCGCGGAGCCAGCGCUCCGGCUCCAGGCUGCGAGGGGCGCGCGCGGGGCGCGGGGAGGGGGGCGGGCGCGUGCACACGGGGCGUUUUCGGGCGCGCGCCCCCUGGCUGGGUCUGCGGAGGGGCUGUGGGUUCCCCGGGGCUUCCCUGCCCCGCGCCUGCCCGCCGGGCGCUUCUCCCCCUCCAGGACCGCGGCCCACGUCGCCACUCGAGCCCGAGCCCGAGCCCGCGCCCACGCGCGGGGGCCGCUUCCUGCGAGGAGGCGGGGACAGGUGUCCGCGGGCGCAAACAGCGGAGUUUCGUGCGCCUAUUUUUUGGUAAAAGUAGAGGCGAUGCGUUGUUGACAUAUUUAGUGGUUAAAAACUUAUUGCCAAAUUCUCAACAGAUUCCAGAAUUUUUUAAAGUUCACAACACGAGAGUGGACGAAAUGUCGGAGCUUUUGCUCAUAUCCAGAAAUGUGGCCUCUGCCUCCCACUCGGGCCCUGCGGUGCAGACGGGUUCAGGGCGGCGAGGACUGAGCCAGGAGCGCCGAGAGUUCCAGCUGCUCCCAGGCUGGGUUCUAAUUAACGCUGGACCCCUGCUGUCUUUGCCAGUUCCAUGCUGUAUACACAUAAUGAGCCGUUACAACUCCAGCACCAAAGCUAACGCCCCGGGAACAUCUUUAAAACCUUUUUCACUCUGUUGCCAAGAAGAGUAGUACCUGCUAGAUGGAGUCUCACUCUGUCGCCCAGGCUGGAAUGCAGUGGUGCAAUCUCGGCUCACUGCGAUCUCUGCGUCCUGGGUUCAAGCAAUUCUCCUGCCUCAGCCUCCCAAGUAGCUGUGACUACAGGCAUGCACCACCACACCCAGCUAAAUUUUGUAUUUUUAGUAGAGACAGGGUUUCACUGUACAUUGGCCAGGCUGGUCUCGAUCUCCUGACCUCAAGUGAUCCACCUGUCUUGGCCUCCCAAAGUGCUGGGAUUACAGGCAUGAGCCACCGCGCCUGGCCUAACUACCCCCAUUCUUUUCCAGAGAAACGUGAACAGGCCAAACAAAGCCUCACCUGGCUAUCCCGCCACCCUGGGGUUGGGCCUCCAAAGGCCCGGGAGGUCACCUAAGACACGGUGUUCUGAACAUGCAAGCCCGACAGCAUCUUCUCUACCAUUCUGCCAGAGUCCAGAGACCUGGGAAUAGGUCAUACCCCCCACUGCAUUUUACAAGCUUGGCAUACAUUAGGUUCUCAAUAAAUACUGAAUUAAUGAAAAAAUUGCUGAAGUAACUGAAAACAUCCAUCCAAACCCCACACCAUCUGGUAGAUAAGUAGUCUGUGGGGAGUCCCAUAUUUUUCUUACCUUAGAUAUUUAUUUGGAAAUGGACUGUAGGCCCAAUAUGGUCAAUGAAACUUGCAGAGGAACAUUUCAUGCCUUUAAUUAGUUCUUCAUAACUGCAGGGACCUCUAGAGUUCCUGAAAUUGAACUGGGUUGUAAUACUGUCAAGAAAAAGGAGGACCUAUCUUAAAUCUAUUUCAAGGGUAAUACUAUUUUACUAUGUAAAUUUUCCCCUGGUCAGGGACAGCCUGAUCAUGCAUGGUAGACUCGAAGCAUGCAAAUAUUUCAACAUGCAAAACCGCCCUAAAAAUAUAACCGAAGCUUAUGGAGUUGUCCAGGGUACAGUGGUUUACUGGCCCCUGAAUGCGGGACUCCAUCAAACUGGGUUCCAGGCUGGGAGGUCUCUGAACCCAAUUUCUAGACAGCCUGCUUUGGAGUUCAACUGAUGGGACCUUAGACACCAGCCUUACCCUCUGCAAGUCUUGUGAUUUGGAGCCAGAUACUUGGCCUCUCUGUGCUCCAGGGAGACACCACUGCACCUACCUGAGAGGACUGAAGGAGAGGAUCUGUGCAACUCACUCAGGAUACUGGAUCUUAAGCCAAUGGGUGGACUUACAUUCGUCACCUCUGAUUCUGUCUCCUCCUGCGCGGUGACUUAGCAAACACUUCUUCCUCUCCAGCUCUGCUUCUUACUCUCCAGCUCUGCUGCCCUGUUCCAGUGCUGACGCCAGACAACAGAUAAUUUCCCAAAUGCUUGUAUUAGCCCUUAGGAGUUCAUGUGUUCCUCCCCCAGCCAAUAAAGCUGUUAAAUCCCAAUAACUGUCAGGAAUGGAGCCAAUUGCUAUAAAGUACUUCCAGCUUCUUGGCAUGAAGAAAUAAUUAGAAUAUAUGUGUUGGCUUUGAAACAACACUCACUGGUUCAUUAAAAAAUUCUGUGCAUAU
rnacentral:lncRNA from 10 species